GUAGGCUGAAACUCGCCUACAUGAAGCUGGAAUUGCUAGUAAUCACAGGUCAGCAUACUGUGGUGAAUACGUUCCCGGGCCUUGUACACACCGCCCGUCACACCAUGAGAGUUGAGAAUACCCGAAGCCCAUGUCAAAGUGGUCGAAGGUAGGCUUGAUGAUUGGGGUGAAGUCGUAACAAGGUAAC
rnacentral:rRNA from 1 species